UCUCCAGAAUUUUGGAAGAGUUUUUCCUGUUGGCGCCCAUCACAUGAUCGUAAGGCGUCCGGAAAUUCGUUGCAUAAUCAUCGUUCGUCGAUCGAAUCAACGAACGAGCGGCAGGUGUACCGCUUGAACGCUGACGUUCGGUGCCGGUGUUUACACCGGAAUUUACGUUUCACAAAAUUAUGAGGUGCCCAGAGUGGACGAACCGGGAAAGUUGUUGGAAAAGGCGAAAGAAUUCGCCGAUCAGUAUAAGAAACCGUAACUCGUAGUUGGUG